rnacentral:lncRNA from 1 species
UUGAAAAUCCCUAUGAAAAAGCUAAAAGCAUCAGAAAUUUAAUCGCUUUACAAAGAACGCAAUACUACCAAGCUGUUGAAGAAUAAAAACGGUCCAAAGAUCCAAAGCCAAAAAAUAAUAAUACACCAUAAAUUAAACUAUCAAACAAAGUUAAAAAAAAAAUGCUGAAGAAAAUCAACAUGAAUGGAGAUGAAAACAAACCGAACGAAAUUUGGAUCAUCGAUGCUCCUCCAUGUCAAAGAUCAACAACAAUGAAACCUAAAAAGAAAAAUGAGAAAGAGACAAAUGAAGAAAAAAGAAAGAAAAAAAAGAAAAAAGAAAGGAGAAAAAAUGAGACGGAAAUGGAGAAGAGAGGAAUCGUGAAACAUGGGUGGGGGUGCAGCUCCAAAGCAAAGAUGAAGAGAAAUAAGAUUUUCAAAUUAAUUAAAAAAUCUUAAAUGGUAAAAAGUAAAAAAGUUUUAACUUAAAGAAUAAAAUUAAAAUUAAAAGAAUUUGGGGAGGUAGAGGAAGCAUGUGUGGAGGUGUAGGGAGUAACACCCUAUUUAUAUACACAGAAACUCUUCAUGAUUGGGCUAUGCAUGUGAAAAAGAUUUGAAGAAUAUUCAACUCUAACUAAGACUCUCACUAAAAAUAAUCCUUAAACCUUUUUUGUACUGCAAAACUUUUGCAAUCCUCUAAUACUAUCUCUCACCCCC